AGGAGGAAAUGAAACCAGCAGCUGUAAUCAUGAAAAUGAGAAAGUAUUGUUUCCCUCCAACCUGUAUAAGUGGUGGAGUCUAUGUCAUAACUGAAGAAUAUUCUUCCCAUCCCUUAGCUUUUUCAGAGCAACAUUCUAAUGUUGACUCUCUUUGAGAUUCUAACCAGGAGUAGCACCUAUGCUUAUCUACAAUCUCCUCAUGGAACCAAAUCAUUUAAUUUUACAAAUGAAGAAACUGAGGCCUAGGUAAGCUUGUCACUAGCCCACGUUUGGAAAGCCUGUUACUGGGAGAUUUGACAUGGUGAAGGUGUCCCACAGCAGACUGGUUAUAUUACACUGACUUAUUGCAUUUAGACUCUUUUUCAAGGACGCCUUAAAUCUUUGAGAGAAGUGUAAUACCUGACUCAGGUAUUUUAAAUCUAUUAUUGAGUUUCCACAUGGAAGUUUCUCCUCUUACUGAAAAUCAUGCUAGGUGGGUAAAACUAAUAAAUCCUAAUAAAUUUAAUAAGUGAUAUAAUCUGAUUUUAAAUUCCUUGCUGUAUUUUCCAUGUACUUCAGAAACAGAGGAAUAAAGGCUAUAUAUUCUUUCUCAAGAUAUCUGUGAGGAAGAUCAAUGGGAGUUGGUGACAGACACUGUGAUAUCGCUAAACCACCUAUAAGGAAAAAUAGUAUCAGAUGUUUGGCUUCAAUCAGGAAAAAAAGAAAAGAAAAGAAGAGAAGAGAAGAGAAGAGAAAAGAAAAGAAAAGAAAAGAAAAGCUGUAAGGCUUAUUAUGAAUGGUUUCCCUGACUCCAAAAAUUUCCAUUCAAAUUAAUGCUAGUUUAGGCUGAUGUCAGUGUUUAGCAGCCACAUGCAUACCAGCUGCUACUUCCAGGAGUGCCACUUUAAGUCUUCAGAAUGUGGGCAGCUGACUCCUUCAUAAAUGACACCAGGUGAGCCUGAACAUCUUAAUAUACUUCAUCCUCAGUCAUAUUCACAGGCAAGGAAACGCCUUCCCACUGUCAGAGAAAGGCAGCCUCUUCUGGAGAAGGGCAGACACUCAGCGGAUACAAAGUCCAGUUGCUCAACGCCAGGAAAAUGUACAUCCCAGUAAUUCAAGUAACACUCCUUCCAAUCCUCAAUAUUCUGAAUAGACAGUCCACUCUUUUUGAGCAUCCCUAGCAUUUAAUUUAUAAUCAUAAUUUUUAAAAGAUGAUUUCUGAGCCAUGAAAAUUCACUCGAUAGCUAAAGACAGAUUGAGGUAGAAUUCAGCUCUUGAUGGAGAACAAUCCAUUUAGGCUCUGGGAAAAAAAAAAAAAAACAACUCAGCUAAGAAACUCAGAGAAUGAGUCAGCACUGUGGAUCUGGAACCUGGUAUUUAGGUGUCCUCACUGCCAAAGGUGUCUCCAACCUGAUAUUUAGUUUCCCUGAAUCACCUACCUUCUAAUUCCCAUUCCCCAAUGUAUUUAAUGAUUCUCUUGACUUAAAGUCUUAGAGAAAAGCUAAAAAUACAAAGAAGACAUGACAACACAGCCAUUCUUUUCUUCUUAGCAUUCUCUUUCUAACUUUACAAUUUAUCUGUUAAUAUUAGUAUAUGCAUAUAAAUAGUUCAAAAAAUAAAAACAAAAGUUGAUCCAUGUUAAUUUAUUAUUACAUUUGGUCUAUAUCUGGACUCUACUUGACCUGAUAAGAAUUGAGAAGUUCUAGUACCAACCACCAAAUAAAUGAGAGUGUAACAGAAAGCAUUAUGACAGAAUUCAUAGAGUAAGGAAGAGUUAUGUUACCAACUUUUAUACAGGAGAUUCCCCUGCUUUCGGCUGAGCUUGAACUCUGAUCUCCGUGAAACCUAUUUGUUUUGUCUGAAAGUUGGAAUCUAGCUAAUGUCAAUGUUAGUUUUACCAUUAGUCAAGAAUUCAGCUUAAUAUUAAACUUUAUAAUAAACUGAGAUGAUUCACUUGCCUGCUUAUUUUCUAUGGGUGGCAUCCACACAUUUGAAAUAUAGCUACGAAUUAUGUUAAUUUAGUAAAAAUCAUGUUGUGGAUGCAGCUGUUUAUUUGCUUUUUAUAACCUAUGAUAUCAGUCCAAUGGAUGUGUCUUGAUUUGGAAGGUCUGAUGCACUCUGAGAGUGACUUUGAUUUGGGAAUAGGCUACACCCAAAGCAGCUGUAAGCUAUGGCUGUGCCCAUUUGCCUCAGUGUCCUAAAGUUAAAUGUGUGUGUGCAAAUAAAAGAAGGUCCCUGUUCUUUACAAUCAGGAGUCAAGUCAAAAGACACUGAUUUCAAUUUCAUGUUUAACUGUUUAACAGUUAUGAUCUCUGAAUAGUACUCCAUGGGGGCAAGAAGCCUAUGUUUUCCUCGCUGCUGUAUCCCUAGCACCUACCAUUCUGCCUUGAGAAAAACAAAUGAGUGAAAAUAUUUUUGAGUCCUUGUUGCUGAAUUGUGUUCCGUAUGCAUUUCUGUAUUUUCUUUUAAAAAUGUAUAAUGGACAUAUAUUUAUAAUAAUGAAAAAGAAUGUUAUUUUAUAAUGCUUAAUAUUCUUUCUUAAUAUUCUCAUAUAAAUAAACUCCUUUUCCUUAUAUGAGCCAAUUUGUCAAUUAGUCUACCCAGAAAUUAUAAUUUUACAAAUUUGAGAAAAACAGGAAAUGUCUUGUUUCCUGG